AGACUGCCUUGGAUUUUCAAGGAGGAAGGAGGGAUGACGUCAAAUCAGCAUGGCGCUUAUAUCUAGGGCUACACACAUGGCGUAAUGGGUGGGACAACGGGAUGCCAAGGCGCGAGCCGGAGCUAAUCCUUAUAAACCCAUCCUCAGUUUGGAUUGCAGGCUGCAAUUCGCCUGCAUGAAAGGGAGUUGAUAGUAAUCGCGGAUCAGCAACACCGCGGUGAAUACGUUCUCGUUUCUU
rnacentral:rRNA from 1 species